GAGCCUCAAAAUGGGGGGUAAAUUUCCUUUUUAAAGUUAAAAAUGGCCCGAGGCCGAUUGGGCCCCAAGUUGGGUGAUUGGAAGAAGAAAAGCCCCUUGGAAAGAGAGUUAAACCGUUCCUGGAAUUGUUGAAAGGGAAGCCCUUGCAACCCGGCCUGUUCGCGGGUGGUCAACCCGUAUUUUUUCCCGUGCCCUCCCCCGUUGUCCGGGCCGCCUCCGGUUGGGCGGGCGGAUUAAGUUCCCCCGGAAGUUGCCUCUUUUGGGGAAGUGUAUAACCGGGGGUGCCCUGCAGCCCCCCCGGGCCGGGGGCCGGGGUUUGGGUUGGAAGCCUGGGUUAUGGUUGUAAGCGGCCCGUUCUGAAACCCGGGCCCAGGAGUUUUACCUUUAAGGGGGGGUUUGGGGGUCCAACCCCUGGGGGUUAAGAAAAGGGACGGAGGGGGGGACCCCUAAGGGGGCCCCCUUGGCCCGUCCCGAAGUUUUUGGAAGGGUUUGAAUAAGGGCCUAACUGGUGGGGCCCGAAAGGAGGGGGACUAAGCCCGGAUUGGGUGGAAGCCGGGGGAACUUCGGUGGGGGGUUGCCACGGUUUCGGCGUGCAAAUUGAUUGGCC
rnacentral:rRNA from 1 species